rnacentral:lncRNA from 1 species
GGACCGUAUUGGAACUCCGGAGUGUGGGUCCAGUGUGGUGAGUGUCUGGGGCCCUGGGUCUUUCAACAACUCUGCCCUGUGCAGGAUAGGCCUCCUCUUCCACAAGACAUCAGCACUGUACAUCCAUCCCUAUUAGCGGGACAUGAGCUCUCGGCUGAGUGGUAAGGGCAGGGUCCAGACAGUGGGCAAAGUGUGAGCUAUGCAAAUGUGGGGAGCUGGGGUCUCACUACAGGCAUCAGGGGCAGCACUAGGGCUUUAUACCUUGUAAGCAGGCAGCAAGGCAAGAGAGAACAAGAUGGAGGCCGUGCGCGCGCAAAGCUCUGGAGGACCAGGGGCCCCAGCAAGGAGGAAGUAGGAGUUCGUAUGUUUCUCCCCUCCCACUCCAAAUUCAAAUCCCGGUGGGGGAGGGAGGGAGAGAGUUACCCAAGAGUACUUACCCCUCCCAUCCACCGCAGAGCAUUGGCAGGAUCCCUAGAAGAAUGGGAGACAGGUUUCCUGAGAGCUGACCAGGAUUUUGAGUGUCUGUUCCGGGGCCAAGACCCUCCAUCUGAGGCUCGAGGUUAAAUUCUGACAGGGGCCACUCUAGCUGACUGCUGUCAGUCCAGGAUACCUUCCCCAUGGGUGGCUGACCCACCUGGGCUGGAGCACAGGUCCCUGUUGUUUUUAAGUGUUCAAAGCCAUGGCCACAGGGCCCCUUCCAGCCCUGAGCCUGCUCAUCUUGCUAAGCUGGGAAGUUCCCCUCUUCUGGAAGGCCCAGAAGGCUGUUCCUCCUCCACCCCGUGCACUCCUCCCUCUUUCUAGAUCCAGAAUGGGGCCUCCAACACAUCUGACUUCCUUACAGCCAGUGUGCAGGCACCACAAACCAUCCCCAUCUUCCACAAUGCUCCACGUCCAUCCUGCCAGUGUGAAGACCUGAAGAUGCAGUAUGACCAGCUGGCUCAUAUUCCUGCCACCAUGCUGUCCCCACCAUGAGUCAAAGUAAACCCUCCCUCCUCAAGUUGCUCCUUAUGUAUGUCUUUGUGAUGUUUUUAUUCUUGAGAAUUUCACACAUGCAUAUAAUGAGAUAUGGUCAUAUCCCUCUGCAUGUCUUCCCCCACCAUGGGUGAGGAGUUACUCCCAGGACCAUGGGUGACUCAAAGGUUGCUGUAUCACUGAAAGGCCCACAGAAGCAUAGGUGACCCAAGAGAGCUGUUAUCCUUGGAGCUCCUUGGAGGACUUGCAGGCAGCUCCACUGACUCAAAAAGAUGCUUCUCUCCCCAGUGAUACAAGGCUUUUUGGUGGUGCGGGGGCGGACUUAUAAAUUCUGUAAGUUUCGAAAACUUUCAAGUUGUAUUCAUUUUCUGAGCCUGGUAAGAGUCCUUUAGCUCUUGAGUAUUAUAUGGUCCUUUCUCCUAGCAGGAAGGGAUAUUUCUCUUCUGAGAAAUAGCACAAGAGGUUUGCUUCUCUACCAAAAGUGAAGAGCCCUAUGGAGUCUUCUAUCCAUAGAGCUGGACCAGGAGCAGGACUAUGUGGCCCUGGUCUGUCAAACAAGUUUAAGCCAGUUUCUUGAAGGGCAUUUUAGCCCCAAGCACUUGGCGCUUAUUGUCUGAAGAAGCAGCUGUGCAUCCACCAGCAUGGGCCUUCUGUGGGCGGCUGUGGCUGCUGCCAGAGGGUCAGCUGAAUUCUGUUUAAUCUUUCUGCUCUGCUCUAUCCCAUGCCCUUGAUUCUGAACAAUGCAUCCUUGCUGCAGAUUCAGCUUUGGGGAGGCAAGGCCUUUUAGUCUGAUGCUCCUCCAGCUAAGAGGCGAGAGGGUGAGAACAUGUGAGGUGGAGUUUAUUUGAACUACAAAGCAGAUUAAGAUAGAAGUAAAAAGCAUGGGUCAGUUCUCCACAGUAAAGGGAGAACUCGGGUCCAGUUGUAGCAUUAUCAUCAUAGGGCAGGGGUGUGGAGGAGCAGAGGGAGGAGGGGUGUGGUGCAUUGAGUUGCCCGUCAUACCCCCUCUUACAGAAGGAAUUGGGGUGCAGUGAUUUGUCCACUGUCUGCUCUUUGCACCCCGACUUACUGAUUCUACGGAUCCACACUUGUGCUGAUGAGGCCUGCCUGAAGUUUUUAUUCUUAUUAGGAAGGCAAAACCAAACUCAGGAAGGCAGGAGAGAGGAGGAGAAAGGGAUAGAAGAUGUCAUGAUAUAAUAGAGUUUGCCAGCCAGGUGGGAACUCCAGAAAGGGAGGAAGGCACGGCCUUCCCAGGGCAGAGGAUGGCAGGACUACCCUCUUCAGCAGGGACCUAACUGUCCAUCUGUUUCUAAUGCUCGCUGUAUCCCCGUAAGACUCACUGUAAGAUGGUGGAAGCCCAGCUCCUUAUCCUGUCCUUACCAGCUGCACACGUGGGACCCCAGCAGUAGCUACUUCAGGGUCCACCAACAGUAGAACUGUAAGUCUGGGGGAGCCAAGCACGGUCUGUAGUGACUCAGGGACAGGGAUGACUCCCUUCACAAGACCCUCAGAUUUCCCUGUUCUGUGUUGUUGCUAUUGUUUUUCAUUACUUGGAGAACACUUCGUUAGUCUCUUAGUCAAAUCCAUGUAGUUAAAACCUUACUUAUUUAUGGGGAUGGAGAGAUAGCUCAGAGGUUAAGAGCAUAGGCUACUCUUCCAGAGGUCCUGAGUUCAAUUCCCAGCAACCACAUGGUGGCUCACAACCAUCCGUUAUGAGAUAAUGGUGCC